UGAGUGGUGUUUGGUUUGUUACGGGUGGUUGGCUCUUUGCUUGCGCAACAACUUCUACCUGGCAUACCUCUUCAGUCUUGUGUCAAUGCUUGUAUUGCAUUGAAUGCACGGUGGGUUUCUUGUGUUGCAUACCUAAUUUAAUGGUAUUGCUUGAUGUAUUGGUUUUCCUUUCGUUUUGCAUUGCCUAUGCGAUGUGAGAUGAACCUUGAAGCAGCCUUUGUGAUCCACUGAUUUGAUGUAUAUGCAUUGAUUUUGUGGCCCAUUGAGUGUUGCUCGGUCUCAUGGAUAUGGAACCUGGUGUGGGCAUGGAAUCUUAAUGGUUCCUUGUUUGCCCAAGUUUAGCUUUUCUAAAACGAUUGUCUAUCAUGUGUUAACAUGCUAGACUACUUCGGAUAUGAAUGCUACCUGGUUGAUCCUGCCAGUAGUCAUAUGCUUGUCUCAAAGAUUAAGCCAUGCAUGUGUAAGUAUGAACAAAUUCAGACUCUGAAACUGCGAAUGGC
rnacentral:misc_RNA from 1 species